AUGGGUUUACCCCAAGUUUCUUCAGUCAGGGAGGAUGUCUCUACAGGAUCGAGGACACCUGUGUCAAGCCCCUCGCGUACCAAUGGUGUUGGUGCCUGCGAUUUGGAUGGGCUUCCUCGAGAAAGCUCAAAUGGCAAGGCUUCAUAUCGAUCGAUUGGCAAUUUCAGUAGACAGACUGCAUCAGAUUCCCCGGAUGAAUCAAACGGGUAUUUUAGAGACAGCCAUGCGUUUGAUGGACUCACAGACUUCCAAGGAUUAAGAAUUGAUGAUUUUAGAGAUGCAAAUUCUAGAUCUUCUCAUAAAUUGCAGCCCGCUGUCCAUAUGCCCACAACCCUUGUUGUGGGCUUUGAAUCAAACUGUGUUGGAGGUCCUGAUACAGCAGAACUGGAUACAAUCUGUCCAUCUGUGGCCAGUCAUAAUUUUGGUUCACCAUGUGAUCAGCAUGAACUUCAGGCAAGGAAAAGACUGCUGUCUCCGUUGAAAAAUGUGCUCUCUAGAAAGUUUCAUGGUGAUUCACUGAAUAUUGCUUCUGGUGAUGCUAGAUUUCAGCAUUCUGAGCCAGGUAAGAAACUCUACAGUUCUGGCUUCCAAGAUAAUAAAAUGGUAAACACCGGAAGCCUCAGUUCUUUUGAGUCACAGGCAUGUCCGACCCCUAGAUGGUCCAGUCGGACUUCAGAAUUUGAUGUCAAUAGGAUUAAUUCUAAUCAUUUCACUGAUGUCCCUUUACUUGGGAACAAGGACUCGUUAUCCUAUUAUGAUCAUCUAGCUGCCAGUGCAAAAUUAGCACACUCUCCGCUCUCACUGUCUCCUCUCAGCCCUAGACGUAUUCAUAAAGUCAAAACUACAGGAUCUCCAAGGCAUGUAAUGAAAGAUAUUGAAAAUGAUUUCCUAGAUUUGAAGGAACAGGGAGGAUUUGAUGGAAUUAGGAUGCUAGAUGUGGUAGAGGAAACUAACAGAUUACAUGAUGAAUAUGAUAUUAUGACCCCUAAAAGAAGUUCAUGUAGAAGAUAUCAAAACUGGGGUUCUGAAUCUUCACCCACGUCUCCGCGAGUUGGUUAUGGACGGAGUUUGAGUCUCCCUGCAAGGAGGUCACUAGUUGUCUCCUUUGAGGAAUCCCUUUUGUCUGGCCGACUUUCUUAUGGAAAAGAUAAUCAGACAAUUGAUGGUUUCUUAGCUGUCCUGAAUAUUGUUGGCGGUAGCUUCUCUCCCCCAACUCAGAAACUUCCAUUUGCAGUAGCAAGCAUCGGCGAGGAUAGCUCCUUAUUGUACUAUUCUUCUAUUGAUCUUGCUGGUAGAUUGUCCACAAGUGCAACCAACAGCAAUAGCCCAAAACUCCAAAGAAGCCUUAGUAACAAUGAUUCAAGAUCAGCAAAGAGUCGCUUACGCAUCCCUGCUAAGGGGCGCAUACAACUGGUUGUGAGCAACCCUGAGAAGACCCCACUCCACACAUUCUUCUGCAACUACGACUUGACUGACAUGCCAUCUGGAACCAAGACGUUCAUGCGGCAAAAGGUCACUCUGUCUCCCACUGUUUCUCCCUCUAAUACAGUGAAAGAAGAAAGCAAGACCAGUGACACAAAUGUUGGCCCGAAGGCUCAGUGUGUCUCAUGUGGGAGUGAACUUGCACAACGAGGAACUCUAUGCUUGGAAUACUGCGGGCAGGGACGGACGUGCAACUCAGCUGAGGAAUCAGAAAAGAGACGCACAAACACAAAAUGUUACUCAUCGGGCACUGACAUGAAGGAAUCAGAUAAACCCAAUUCUCUUGGGAAUAAGCAAAACAAUACUGAUUCUGAUGAUUGUUGCUGUCAGAUGGACAACGUGCACUCAGGUGCGAAGAAAUCAUGUUGUGCGUCUUCCAGGAUCAAUGACAGUUCAGGUGGAGGCGUGCUCCGCUAUGCUUUGCACCUGCGGUUUCUCUGCCCCGCCUCGAAAAAAUCCUCAAAAUCUAUGCUACGUUGCAAAUCCGAUCCAUCAUCUGUACCACAGAGCGGCAAUAUGGUGACUGAGGAUAGGAGAUUCUAUCUCUACAACGAUCUUAGAGUUGUAUUUCCUCAGAGGCACUCAGAUGCGGAUGAAGGCGAGCUGAAGGUGGAACAUGACUUCCCUGCUGAUCCCAAGUACUUCGACAUAAGCAACUGA
rnacentral:rRNA from 1 species